CAACAACACAUAUCAACCUCAACAACCAACCCAUAUGUUUGUUCCACCUAGCACCCCUGCCAGCUCUCAGCAACAGCCAGGCCCUUCACCUGUACCAGUGUCUCAGCAAACAGUGAAGGCAUUUACUCCUGCGAACCCAGCUGGUCUAAAAAAUCCGGGACAAUAUCAGCAACCUAAUACCCUAGGUUCCCAGCUUUACACGGGCACUGCAAAUCAACAGUAUGUCG